rnacentral:rRNA from 1 species
CCUACGGGAGGCAGCAGUGGGGAAUAUUGGACAAUGGGCGAAAGCCUGAUCCAGCAAUGCCGCGUGAGUGAUGAAGGCCUUAGGGUUGUAAAGCUCUUUUACCCGGGAUGAUAAUGACAGUACCGGGAGAAUAAGCUCCGGCUAACUCCGUGCCAGCAGCCGCGGUAAUACGGAGGGAGCUAGCGUUGUUCGGAAUUACUGGGCGUAAAGCGCACGUAGGCGGCUUUGUAAGUUAGAGGUGAAAGCCUGGAGCUCAACUCCAGAAUUGCCUUUAAGACUGCAUCGCUUGAAUCCAGGAGAGGUGAGUGGAAUUCCGAGUGUAGAGGUGAAAUUCGUAGGUAUUCGGAAGAACACCAGUGGCGAAGGCGGCUC